UACGGAAGGCAGCAGUGGGGAAUAUUGCACAAUGGGCGCAAGCCUGAUGCAGCCAUGCCGCGUGUAUGAAGAAGGCCUUCGGGUUGUAAAGUACUUUCAGUCGUGAGGAAGGUGUUAAGGUUAAUAACCUUAGCAAUUGACGUUAGCGACAGAAGAAGCACCGGCUAACUCCGUGCCAGCAGCCGCGGUAAUACGGAGGGUGCGAGCGUUAAUCGGAAUUACUGGGCGUAAAGGGCACGCAGGCGGUUAAUUAAGUUGGAUGUGAAAUCCCCGGGCUUAACCUGGGAAUGGCAUUCAAGCUGGUUAGCUAGAGUCUUGUAGAGGGGGUAGAAUUCCAUGUGUAGCGGUGAAAUGCGUAGAGAUGUGGAGGAAUACCGGUGGCGAAGGCGGCCCCUGGGACAAAGGACUGACGCUCAUGUGCGAAAGCGUGGGGAGCAAACGAGGGAUUAGAUACC
rnacentral:rRNA from 1 species